rnacentral:rRNA from 1 species
AUGUUGACAUUGGCUACGAAAGGCAAUGAGACAAGUCAAUCAAGUGCCAAAUCUGAAGAGAAGAAGUUGAGAGUGCACAAGGUAAAACAAGAACUGUCAUUGCUUCAAACAAAGUUGCAGCCGGGGUGCCCACACGGCUUAUCAUAUUGGAAAAAGAAGAAAUUACAAAAACUUAGUGCACAAGAACUUGAAGAAAGGACCAUGACAUGGGUUCCCAAAGAAAGUGUGAAAAAUAAGAAUUAUGUGCAAGCUUCCAUUACAAGAAGUGCAGGAAAGGUGAAGAAGGAAAAGAGUGAAAACUAUAAAGGACCGAGCCAAAGGUUUCAGCAUCUUCGGUCUACACAUUAUCCAUAUUCUUCAACUAUGGCAUUAACGCCUAUGCCAUGGAAUUCGUCAUCAGGUAUAAUUGGUAACCCUCAAUGGGCUUAUUUUAUUCCAUGGAUGCAAUAUAAUUUCUUACAUCAUGAAAGGGUAUUACCAAGUCACUAUACAUUUGAUUAG